rnacentral:rRNA from 1 species
AGUGAACGCUGGCGGUAGGCCUAACACAUGCAAGUCGAACGGCAGCACAGUAAGAGCUUGCUCUUACGGGUGGCGAGUGGCGGACGGGUGAGGAAUACAUCGGAAUCUACUUUUUAGUGGGGGAUAACGUAGGGAAACUUACGCUAAUACCGCAUACGACCUACGGGUGAAAGAAGGGGAUCUUCGGACCUUGCGCGAUUGAAUGAGCCGAUGUCGGAUUAGCUAGUUGGCGGGGGAAAGGCCCACCAAGGCGACGAUCCGUAGCUGGUCUGAGAGGAUGAUCAGCCACACUGGAACUGAGACACGGUCCAGACUCCUACGGUAGGCAGCAGUGGGGAAUAUUGGACAAUGGGCGCAAGCCUGAUCCAGCCAUACCGCGUGGGUGAAGAAGGCCUUCGGGUUGUAAAGCCCUUUUGUUGGGAAAGAAAAGCAGCAGGUUAAUACCCCGCUGUUCUGACGGUACCCAAAGAAUAAGCACCGGCUAACUUCGUG